rnacentral:misc_RNA from 1 species
GGAAGUAAAGUCGUAACAAGGUCUCCGUAGGUGAACCUGCGGAGGGAUCAUUACAGAGUUCAUGCCCCACCGGGUAGAUCUCCCACCCUAUGUUAUUAUUACUUUGUUGCUUUGGCGGGCCGUUAGGCUCCGGCCCGACUACCGGCCCCGGCUGGUAAGCGCCCGACAGAGGACCCAAAACCCUGAAUAUUAGUGUCGUCUGAGUACUAUAUAAUAGUUAAAACUUUCAACAACGGAUCUCUUGGUUCUG